rnacentral:precursor_RNA from 14 species
GCACUUCUUGACAUUGAGGCCCCUUCUCUCCGUGUUCACAGCGGACCUUGAUUUAAAUGUCCAUACAAUUAAGGCACGCGGUGAAUGCCAAGAGAGGGGCUGAGAAGCAGCAAAUUUUUU